GACGAACGCUGGCGGCGUGCUUAACACAUGCAAGUCGUACGGUAAGGCCCAUGCGUGGUUACACGCUUGGCGAACGGGUGAGUAACACGUGAGUAACCUGCCCACCACUUUGUGAUAACGCUAGGAAACUGGUUCGAAUACUGACUAUGUGCUCCUGCUGCAUGGUGGGGGUUGUGGAGCGCCGGCGGGUGUGGAUUGAGUCGCCGCCUAUCAGCUUGGUGGUGGGGGAAUGGCCUAACAAGGCGGCGACGGGUAGCCCGGCUUAGAGGGUGACCGGCCACAUUGGGACUGGGAUACGGCCCAGACCCCCAAGGGAGGCAGCAGUGGGGAAUAUUGGAAAAUGGGCGCAAGCCUGAUGCAGCAAAGCCGCGGGCGGGAUGACGGCCUUCGGGUUGUAAAACGCUUUCAGCAGGGACGAAGCUUUUUGUGACGGUACCUGCAGAAGAAGCACCGGCUAACUACGUG
rnacentral:rRNA from 1 species